rnacentral:siRNA from 1 species
UUUUAAUUUCAGAUCCUUGGGA